GACUCUUUCAAAACUCCAACACCUGACAACCUUCCUCUUUUCUUUUCUAUAAAAUUUCUCUAUAAUUUUUUCUUUCUCAAUCUCUUAUUUCUUUGGUGUCUCUACAUCCCUUUUUAUAGUCUUCAAGGUCUUCUUGAGUCCUAGUCAUUCCAAACUCACACAAAUCCUCACGCCUCCCUCUUUCCUUUUAAGUUUUAGUGCUCAAAAUCCUUUUUCAUGUCUCAAAACCCUGGCCGC
rnacentral:lncRNA from 1 species